rnacentral:tRNA from 1 species
GGGGCUGUAGCUCAGUUGGGAGAGCGCUUGCAUGGCAUGCAAGAGGUCGUCGGUUCAACCCCGAUCAGCUCCA